UGGGGAAUAUUGCACAAUGGGCGCAAGCCUGAUGCAGCCAUGCCGCGUGUGUGAAGAAGGCCUUCGGGUUGUAAAGCACUUUCAGCGAGGAGGAAGGUGGUGAGCUUAAUACGCUCAUCAAUUGACGUUACUCGCAGAAGAAGCACCGGCUAACUCCGUGCCAGCAGCCGCGGUAAUACGGAGGGUGCAAGCGUUAAUCGGAAUUACUGGGCGUAAAGCGCACCAGGCGGUUUGUUAAGUCAGAUGUGAAAUCCCCGGGCUCAACCUGGGAACUGCAUUUGAAACUGGCAAGCUAGAGUCUCGUAGAGGGGGGUAGAAUUCCAGGUGUAGCGGUGAAAUGCGUAGAGAUCUGGAGGAAUACCGGUGGCGAAGGNGGCCCCCUGGACGAAGACUGACGCUCAGGUGCGAAAGCGUGGGGAGCAAAA
rnacentral:rRNA from 1 species